CCUGGGGAAACCCAGGCUAAUACCGCAUACGUCCUACGGGAGAAAGGGGGCUCCGGCUCCCGCUAUGGGAUGAGCCUAUGUCGGAUUAGCUAGUUGGUGAGGUAACGGCUCACCAAGGCCACGAUCCGUAGCUGGUCUGAGAGGAUGAUCAGCCACAUCGGGACUGAGACACGGCCCGAACUCCUACGGGAGGCAGCAGUGGGGAAUAUUGGACAAUGGGGGAAACCCUGAUCCAGCCAUGCCGCGUGUGUGAAGAAGGCCCUCGGGUUGUAAAGCACUUUCAGCGAGGAAGAACGCCUAGCGGUUAAUACCCGCUAGGAAAGACAUCACUCGCAGAAGAAGCACCGGCUAACUCCGUGCCAGCAGCCGCGGUAAUACGGAGGGUGCAAGCGUUAAUCGGAAUUACUGGGCGUAAAGCGCGCGUAGGUGGCUUGAUAAGCCGGUUGUGAAAGCCCCGGGCUCAACCUGGGAACGGCAUCCGGAACUGUCAAGCUAGAGUGCAGGAGAGGAAAGGUAGAAUUCCCGGGUGUAGCGGUGAAAUGCGUAGAGAUCGGGAGGAAUACCA
rnacentral:rRNA from 1 species